AAAGCUCGUAGUUGGAUUUGUGGUUGGAAGGGCCCGCCGUUGCUAUGCUUCGUGUUGGAUUUUUCCGUCCAUCCUUGGGUGGAUCCUGUGUGGCAUUCAGUUGUCGUGCAGGGGAUGCCCAUCGUUUACUGUGAAAAAAUUAGAGUGUUCAAAGCAGGCUUACGCCUUGAAUAUAUUAGCAUGGAAUAAUAAGAUAGGACCUGGGUACUAUUUUGUUGGUUUGCGCACCGAGGUAAUGAUUAAUAGGGACAGUUGGGGGUAUUCGUAUUCCAUUGUCAGAGGUGAAAUUCUUGGAUUUUUGGAAGACGAACUACUGCGAAAGCAUUUACCAAGGAUGUUUUCAUUAAUCAAGAACGAAAGUUANGGGAUCGAAGAUGAUUAGAUACCAUCGUANUCUUAACCAUAAACUAUGCCGACGAGGGAUUGGCGGUUGUUCGUUUUGACUCCGUCAGCACCUUAUGAGAAAUCACAAGUCUUUGGGUUCCGGGGGGAGUAUGG
rnacentral:rRNA from 1 species